CGGCUGUGAGCCAGAACGAGGCUGAGAUCCGGGCACUGAAGGAGGGAAAAGAUGGCGGACGGCGUUCAGAACUAGGUUACAGACCACGAAAGAAAAAUGAAAGUUGACCGAACCAAACUGAAGAAAACGCCAACUGAAGCACCUGCUGACUGUCGAGCUCUGAUUGAGAAGCUAAAAGCUUGUAAUGAUGAGCAGCUGCUGACAGAACUUCAACAAAUCAAGACAUGGAAUAUCGGGAAGUGCGAGCUCUAUCACUGGGUAGACCUCCUGGAUCGGCUGUCUCUCUCUCUCUCUCU